CACAGAGGGGAAUUUUUCACAAGGGGGGAAACCCUGAUGCAGCAACGCGGCGUGGAGGAUGAAAGACUUUGGAUUGUAAACUCUUUUUGAGGGGGAAGAUUAUGACGGUACCGGAGGAGGAAGCCCCGGCUAACUCUGUGCCAGCAGCCGCGGUAAUACAGAGGGGGCAAGCGUUUUUCGGAUUUAUUGGGCGUAAAGGGCGUGUAGGCGGUUUGUUAAGUCUCUUGUGAAAUCUCCGGGCUCAACUGGGAGUCGGCGUGGGAAACUGCCGGGCUUGAGUGUGGGGGAGGGGAGUGGAUUUCCCGGUGUAGCGGUGAAAUGCGUAGAUAUCGGGAGGAACACCUGUGGCGAGGGCGGCUCUCUGGCCCGCUCCUGACGCUGAGGCGCGAAAGCUAGGGGAGCAAACGGGAUUAGAUACCCUGGUAGUCCUAGCCCUAAACGAU
rnacentral:rRNA from 1 species